rnacentral:rRNA from 1 species
UACGUAGGGGGCAAGCGUUGUCCGGAAUCAUUGGGCGUAAAGCGCGUGUAGGCGGCUGAGUAAGUCUGCUCUGAAAGCCCGGGGCUCAACCCCGGGAGGCGGGUGGAUACUGCUCAGCUCGAGUCCGGAAGAGGAGUGGUGGAAUUCCUGGUGUAGCGGUGAAAUGCGCAGAUAUCAGGAGGAACACCAAUGGCGAAGGCAGCACUCUGGGACGGUACUGACGCUGAGACGCGAAAGCGUGGGGAGCAAACAGG